rnacentral:lncRNA from 1 species
GUCUAUGUUUUAUUGUGUUUAAAGGUUUAUGAUUCAAAUAUUGCAUAAUUUAGGAAAGGGAUUAAAAUAGUAACUGAUAUAGAAAAAAAAACUAAUACCUCGAAUGUGGCGAUCAUGUGACUAUAGGGUUGUAUUAUAUGAAACAUAUACGUAAGAACCAUUUGUGUCUGACACUUGGUUGUUUCUUAUAUUAUUAGAUUCG